CUUCGGCCAGCACGUGCAGGUGCGCCUGCUGGUCAGCUGCUCGCUGCACACGGACCCCAGAAUGUUCCCCUACCUGCGGUCCCUGCAGGCCUUCAGCAACCCCGCGGCCAACGUGUCCGUGGACGUGAAAGUCUUCAUUGUGCCUGUGGGGAAUCACUCCAACAUCCCGUUCAGCAGAAUGAGCCACAGCAAGUUCAUGGUCACGGAGAAGGCGGCCUACAUAGGCACCUCCAACUGGUCGGAAGAUUACUUCAGCAGCACGUCGGGCGUGGGCCUGGUGGUC